UUGGCGGGGAAGCUGUGCCGACGGCCUGGCCGUCGGCCCACUUCACGCCGUUUGCCACCUGCUGACGCCGUUGUCGGUGGCUGUCUGUGGCCCCACCAUAUGACCAUGUGCCGACGGCUAGGCUACGUGCCGUCGGCACAGAUAGUGUUUGUGCCGACGGCCAAAGUGUGCCGACGGCGGCCGUCGGUCCUGGUGGUUCUGUGCCGACGGCCAGGCUGUGCCGACGGCUACUUUGCUGGGCUGACGGCGAGCGAGGCUGUGCCGACGGCGGCCGUCGGCACAGAUUCUGGCCGUCGGCACGUCGGCGGGUUCCCGUAGUGAGAGCGGGCCGUAAUUUUUUUUUGUCCAGCACUAGUCUCCAAUGGAGGUAGUGUCUCCGCUCCCAUCUAGUCUAGUGUAGAAAGUAAAAAAGGUUCUCUCCGCUCCCAGGAAUUCACCAAAAUUAGAUCGCGAAUUCUCUCCCUCACGUACAAAUCGAGCUUCAAUUGGAGAAAUAGGCACUCGAUUUGGAGGAUCAUGCCGGACGGCCGGCCGGAAGAGUGUGAGCCAGUGUGGACCUUUCGGUCGGACCAGGAUCUCGAGUUUUGCGGUGAUUAUUGGAGCUAAAGGCCGGCGAUCUGCCGCUCGUGUACCUACAUAAGAUAGAGGCCGGACUGGUGCCUUCUGCCUGGUGUUGUUGUGCAUCGGCGAGGACGCUGCCAAGAAUUGGAAAGACAAAAGAUAAGUAUUGGAAUUGAACCUGCCAAUAUGAGGAACUGCUUCACUGCGAGCCAGUCUUGUAUCCCUGAGAGGUCCAAAGUCCAUACUCCAGAGCGCUUACAUCACCAAUAAAACCAUGGUAUGUUAUCCUAAUGCUUGUACCUUGGUUGUAGAAUACAAACCUACAAAAUAAGAGAAAAUAUAAUACUUCUGAAGAUAUAUCUCUAGAGACGUCUCUAGAGCUAACAGGAAAAGAGAAAUCAUACUGAACUACAGAAGGCAAACAAAUCCGUAUCAGAAUAGUUCCUAGCUACUAAUAUACUACUUUUUACCUCCAUAUGCAGAAUGAAUUAACUGUUUGCUACUUUGGUAGAGACUAAGAAUGAAUCAAGUGUUUGCUACUUUGGAAGAGACUAAAACUGUGUCGCAAAACUCACAGAGACAGAAAUUUAAACUGUGGUCAAGGUUACCGGUGCUAGGGCCCCCAGGAAUAUCUUUGACCGCGAUGCGCUGGUACCAGGCGCGCGGCGCUUGCUUCAGGCCAUACAAGGAGCGCGAGAGCAGGCACACAUGCUCGGGGUGAUCGGCGUCGAUGAAGCCGGUGGGCUGCUGACAGUACACCUGCUCGGAGAGGUGUCCAUGAAGAAGGCGUUGGAGACGUCCAUCUGAUGCACCGGCCAAGCUCGAGAGGCGGCGAGGUGCAGCACCGUGCAGAUCGUGCCCAGUUUGACAACCAGGGCAAAUCUAUCCGUUAAGUCGACACCGGCGCGUUGGCGGAAACCGUGAACCACCCAACGUGCCUUGUAGCGCUCGAGAGUCCCGUCAGGCUGUAGCUUGUGCUUGAAGACCCACUUGACGGUGAUGACGUUGGCGCAAGGGGGACGAGGAACGAGCGCCCAAGUCUGAUUGCGCUGCAGCGCGUCGAACUCUUCCUGCAUGGCCGCGUGCCAGUGAGGGUCUCGAAGGGCAGCCCGAGCGGAGGUGGGCACCGGAGAGAGGGCCGACGAGGGCGCCGAUGUAGAGGCCGCGCAGAUGUACUCGGUGGAGGGGUAGCGAGUGGAUGGGCGACGCACACCCGUGCGAGCACGAGUGAUGACACCCACGGGAGCGGGGGGCGGAGUGUCGGCACCCGAGGUGGAGGUCGACGCAGCUGGCGUCGAGGCGGGCGACGCAGCCAACGUCGAGGUGGAGGACGACGCGGCUUUGGUCGAAGGCGCGGAUGGUGUCGACGAGGACGAAGUCGACGCGGAUGGGGACUGAGGCGCAUGCCCGGGCGCUGGAGGAGCCGGCGGGGCGGGCGCCGAGGCGGGCGCGGCGAGGGCGGCCCGGCGUCGUCCAGGUACGGCCUCAAGCGGGGCCGCAUGUGUCGCCGUAGAGGUCGCCAAUACUCCCUGCUGAAAUGGAAAAACCAACUCAUCAAAGUAAACGUGCCUCGAGGUGAUCACACGAUGAUAGACCGGAUCAUAGCAGCAAUAGCCCUUGGUGUUGGCAGGGUAGCCAAGGAACACACAAGGCAGGGAGCGGGGGGCGAGCUUGUGGGGCGCGGUGGCGGUGGUGCUAGGGUAGCAGCGGCAGCCGAAGAUGCGGAGAUCGUCAUAGGACAGAGGCGCACCAAAGAGGAGAUGAUGCGGCGCGUAGUGCCAGCGGGAACGGCAGGGACGGAUGUUGAUGAGAAUAGUAGCGGUGGCAAGGGCAUCGGGCCAGAACCGUGGGGGCAUAUACGCGUGGAACAAAAGGGUGCGAACAUAAUCGUUGAGAGUGCGGAGGAUGCGUUCAACACGACCGUUUUGUUGAGAGGUGUAGGGACACGUUAGACGGAAGACGGUGCCAUGGGAGGCGAGGAGGGUGCGAAAGGUGAUGUUGUCGAACUCUUUGCCGUUGUCAGUUUGGAGAGCAUGGAUGGGGCAACCGAAUUGGGUGGAGACGUAGGUGAAAAAGGAGGCGAGGGGGGUGGAGACGUCUGACUUGCGGCGCAGGGGAAAGGUCCAUACAAAAUGCGAAUAAUCGUCUAAAAUCACAAGAUAGUAAUUAAAGCCGGAAUUACUCGGAAUUGGCGAGGUCCAAACAUCACUAUGAAGUAACUGAAAAGGAAAAAACGCUACUGUGGAGGAGGAACUAAACGGAAGGCGAACAUGUUUGCCGAGACGACAUGCUUCAAAAGAAUGAGCAUCCAUUUUAUUGCAUGUAAAAGAAAAUCCUCUAAUUAUUUGACGGAGAGUGGUGGAGCUAGGAUGGCCGAGGCGCGCGUGCCAGAGGUCGACACCGGCGGAGAGGGAGAGGCGGCUGGUGGUGCUGGCGGCGGUGGUGGAGGAUCCGACAGGGUACAUAUCGCCAGAACUGUCACUGCGGUGGAGUAGCAUCCGGGUACGACCAUCCUUUACAGAAAAACGAAAGGCGUCAAAUUCCAGAGUUACAGAAUUAUCACGAGAAAGAGAACGGACAGAGACUAAAUUCUGAAUUAAUUCAGGAGAGACGAAAAUAUUAUUGAGAGUGAGAGGAGUGGAGUUAGAAGGAAAAGAGGCGGAGUCGGUGUGAGUAAUAGGAAGAGCAUGACCGUUGCCAACGAUGAUGCGAGACAAAGUGGAAGUGGGAAAAGAAGUGGAAAGGUUACCGGGGUGAGAGGACAUGUGCGCGGAGGCGCCGGUGUCCAUGAACCAGUCACCGCCGCCACCAUAGGAGCCAGCGGUGGGGGCGAUCUGGAGAGCGUUCAGCAACGCGGGAUCCCACUGAGUCGAUGACGGCGGAGGCGCGGGGUAGUAGGCGGGUGAUGGCGCGGGGUAGUAGGCGGGUGAUAGCGCGGUGUAGGGUGCAGGCGCGGUUGUCCCCGCAAAGAAUGCCUGAUGGUUGGCCGGGCGCGAACCCAAGAUGCUCGGGUAGGGGGCGCGCGGCACGGGCAUCGUGUAGGCGUGGACAA